rnacentral:sRNA from 1 species
GCAUGACCCAGUUGGGAACAAGGAUCCCAUGUUGAUUGACUCCCCACCUUGACAAGUAUCUUGUUGUUGGGAUGACCAGCAUGUGACUAUUGGGACAAGAUAGAAGUAUUUACAAAGCCAACAGUUUUGACCAAUUUAUGCGAAUUAGGGCAGAUUUGAGAGUACACUUAAGAGUUUUAAACUUUGUUUGAAAAAACAAAAAACAGUGUUCUUGGAAUAGUUUCUUUGGAGUAGAGCGCAUAAGGCCAAAUUUUAUCUGAUUGUUGGUGAGCACCUGUGGGUUUUUGUGUUCCUUAUGUAGUAUCCCUUAGGUUUGGGUCGAACAAUGUAAACCUUAUCAUUUCCACUGUUUUUAACAUCUCAAAUGAUGUCCCACGUCCUAGGUGCCAAUCCACAAAUGCCCACUCCUACAUCUUCUCCCUCCUCCCUCCAUUUUGCCACUAUGAUGCUGCUCUAAACUCACCCAACUUUUCGAAACCCACCACUCCAGCCUCCUCCUACGUUCGAGCAUCACAUCUCCACAGGACCAAGGGCCUUCCAUCCCAUUGGUUUCAAAUAAUGCCAUCCUCUGAUAUAUAUUGGUUGGUGGUCUAUUUUCUGGGAAGCUCUGGGUCAUCAGCCAGCAUAUAUUGUUCUUCCUCUAUUGCAGGACCUCUCUGUCACAGGACAUCCACUGUUUAAGCACCACCACUACCUCAGGAAGUCCACUGUCUGUGUGUCAACUCCCACUGUUACAGGACCACAAGUGUCUCAGCACUUCAACUAUCACAGCACUUCUACUGUUCAGGAGCUCAAGAGUCUCAGCAUCUCAAGUGUCACAGGACCUCCUUUGUCCAAGAACUGGACUGUCCAAGCAAUACUGCUAUUGCGGGACCUCCACUGUCACAGGAUUUCCACUGUAGGAGCACUACAACUGUCUCAGGACACCCACUGUCCUAUAACCUCCACUAUCCCAGGAAUUCCACUGUCGUAGCACCACCCGUAGCAACUAAAGUGUUUCAGGACAUCAACUGAAGCAAGAUCUCCCAUGAUUCUGCAACUUCACUGCCCCAGGAUCUCUACAGUGACAGGAAUACUUCUGUAUCAGCAAUUCCAAUUUUGCAGGACCUCCACUGUAGCAGAACCUCAAUUGUGCAGCAGCUCCCCUGUAUGUAGAUUGACCUCCACGAUCUCAGUGCCUCCACUUUCAAAGGACCUUCACUGUCACAGAACCGGCGCUAUUUCAGUGCCUCCACUGUCGCAGGACCUACCUCUUCACAGGAUCUGCACUGUUGCAGCAACUGUAAUUUCAAUUUUUCAAAGUCAUUGCUGGUUAUUAGAUUUCAGGCUGAAUGAAAUGAGAUGUUACUUUUGAAAGCAUAAGAAUUUGUUCUAUACCUCUUGUGAUAAAUGCCGUGUUUGCUAGGACCAGUAAACUAUGGAAGACUUCUUCAGCUCAUACCACUCUCCACCUCACUUUGUGGAAGCUGGUGUUUUUAGAGUGUGAUAAACUUCAGGUGAAUGGAUGCAUUCAGCUGCACCACGCUCUAGAGUGGACUACACAGCAGUCAUAUUGAGUCCUUGCUGGGAAGAGAAGAAAUCCAGAAGAAGGAGAAGGCUUGGGUUGGGGGAAGAAUCAUAAAAUACUUAGAGGAUAUUAGAAGGUAAGAAUUAUGGGGAACUGGAAAACAGAGCCAAAGGAAGAAUGAGCACAGAGCAAACUGGGAAGGACAAAGUACAAAGGCACUUGGGUUUUGCCAUCUGCGUGUUCUCUGGACAAUCUCCCUGGGCCACAUUUCUGGGAGAAAACUCUUCCCCCACCCCCUUGUAAGGUUUCAUUCUUGAAGGAAAGCAGCAACACAACUUCAUCAGUGAAUUUCCCCAUUGGAAUUGGUUCAUCCUUUAAUGCUUCUGGGAAAUCCCGAGCUGGGGAAUGUCCUGCUCUCUGCUGAGAGACAGCAGGAAAGUAGGUCGUCCUCUGUUUUCUCGUUGCUACAGCUCUUCUAAGUAUGGCUGAUUGUUGAGUGAAGACACAGGAUACUUCUGGUGUGUAUGUAUGCUUUGUUCACUGUGGGUGUUGUUGGGAGUGUCCUGAAAAGAAGGGCAUGCCCAAUGGCACUUCUGCUUCCUCUUUGACUAGCCUUAUGAUCAUAGGGAGACACUAGGCCAUUGGAAGAUGAGGAGAGCAAUGUGUCUAAGUUGUGUUCACUUCUAUUCCUAUUUAGUCCUAGAGGGAAAUCAGCAAGGGUGUGAGGAAUGCUGCUGUGCACUGACUGUGUGGUGUGAGGAAUGCUGCUGUGCACUGACUGUGUGGUGUGAGGAAUGCUGCUGUGCACUGACUGUGUGGUGUGAGGAAUGCUGCUGUGCACUGACUGUGUGGUGUGAGGAAUGCUGCUGUGCACUGACUGUGUGCUGUGAGGAAUGCUGCUGUGCAUUGACGCUGCCUUUUUUCUUUUCUCCCUACACCUGCAUCCUUCUGGUGGCUCAGGUUGGACAACUAGGUGCCCAUGACCAACUCCUCAUUGUGGAUGGAUUUAGUCUGGUUGGACUUUCUCAGGAAAGGCAGCUGAACUCAUGACUAGUACCAGUUCCACGGUUACCCUGGAAGUUGCAAAUCAAGACAUCCUCUCUCACUGCCUGUCCACCUUUCUUACCAACCCAUUGUCCUCCAUGGUGCAGAGAGGCCUGUCAUCAGUGCCUUGGCGUUUGUGGGACUCAUCCACAGAGGCAUGCAACUCAGAGAACGGUACCCCAACUUGGUGCACAGGAACUCUUUCAGGUGUCACUUGAUUGUCACAGGUUUCUGCUCGGUCAGCAAGGAAGGGAAGCCUAGCCCUGUGCCAGGAAUGACUGCAUAUGGUCAACACACACUACCCUGGAAGACCCGAGAGUUCAAGGACGGCCAACUUUCACUUAAGCAAACUUGUCCACAGACUGCGUGGGUCCCAUCAGCUGAGAGUAGCCUCCACAUUGCAGUGAUGUGCAAACUUCUGCCUUUCAGCCAUGAUGGACUUUAGGAUCUAACCUGAGGACCCUACACAAGGCACAGGUAGGUGAUGUGUAAAUGAGGCAUGUUACUGGGUCAGGUCUUCAGUGCAGUGUCUUAAGCUGUCAGGCUUUUGGGAGGGCAUAUGCUUCUCUAUUAAAUGAGCUGGCUUCUCUGAAGGCCUCAACUCUGCUGUGUCUGCCGCUCAUGCUCCCUCCUCCAAGAAUCUAACUGUCCCUAGCUCUCUGUGACUGGCUGGUCAGUCAGCCUUCAUGCCACUCCACAGCCACUCUACAACACAGAGCCCACACUGUCCUCUGCAGAAGUUUCACAGGGCUGCUGCUUUAGUCUCUCUGUUGCGCUAUGGGGGUCCAAAGUCAAGUUUCUUAGGUCCCUAGGUGUCCCUGAAAAGGCUCUAGAACAAGGAAGAGGUGAAGAAAUCAGGAAAUAAACUCCUGCAGUACUUCAUGACUACCACUGGAGGGCUCUACACCUUUCUGGUCCUAGUGUGCCACUCAGCAAGCCCUCUCACUCACUCUAAGGUUCUGAGCCUGAUGGAGAGGACUCCUGCUAAACCCAGUGUUCCCAAGAAACUGGCUGUACCGGCAGGGCUAACUGUAGAGGAUUCUCCACGACCCUGAGAACACAAUUUGGAAAUCUCAGGUAGGCAGGGUGUGUGGGGGAGCAACCAGGGCUGGAUGGAGACCUUACCCAGAA